AACGAACGCUGGCGGCAGGCCUCAUACAUGCAAGUCGAGCGGAAAGGCCCCUUCGGGGGUACUCGAGCGGCGAACGGGUGAGUAACAGGUGGGUAAUCUACCUCUCGGAGGGGGAUAACGGCUGGAAACGGCCGCUAAUACCCCGUACGGUUGCGAAGCUUACGGGCUUUGCAAAGAAAGGGGCCCUUAAAGCCCCGCCGGGAGAUGAGCCCGCCCCCCAUUAGCUUGUUGGCGGGGUAACGGCCCACCAAGGCAGCGAUGGGUAGCCGAGCUGAGAGGUUGAUCGGCCACACUGGAACUGAGAUACGGUCCAGACACCUACGGGUGGCAGCAGUAGGGAAUAUUGCGCAAUGGGCGAAAGCCUGACGCAGCCAUGCCGCGUGGAUGAUGAAGGCCUUCGGGUCGUAAAGUCCUUUUCUGAGGGAAGAACUGCCGGGGGAGGAAAUGCCUCUGGUUUGACGGUACCUCAGGAAUAAGCAACGGCUAACUCCGUG
rnacentral:rRNA from 1 species